ACAUCGCCUUCUGAAAAUUUAUAGAAGGUCUGGCCUGCCCAGUGACUCUGUUCAACGGCCGCGGUAUUCUAACCGUGCGAAGGUAGCGUAAUCACUUGUUCUUUAAAUGAGGACUAGUAUGAAUGGCACCACGAAGGUUACACUGUCUCCUUUCUCUAAUCAGUGAAAUUGAUUUUCUCCGUGAAGAAGCGGAGAUAAAUAUAUAAGACGAGAAGACCCUAUGGAGCUUUAAACUAUUAACAAUUAUUUUUAUUUAUUAAACCUUUAGGUCAUAAAAUUAACUUAAAUACUCUGAUUAUUAGUUUUCGGUUGGGGUGACCACGGAGUAAAACCUAUCCUCCAUGAUGAAUUAGAGCCCGCCUCUAAGCAAAAAACUACAAUUUAAUGCAUCAAAAAAUUGACUCUAUUGACCCAAUAUUUGAUCAACGAACCAAGUUACCCUAGGGAUAACAGCGCAAUCCGUCUCAAGAGCUCAUAUCGACAGAUGGGUUUACGACCUCGAUGUUGGAUCAGGAUGUCCAAGUGGUGCAGCCGCUACUAAAGGUUCGUUUGUUCAACGAUUAAAAUCCUACGUGAUCU
rnacentral:rRNA from 1 species